GUGUGAAGUAGGUACUAUUGUCAUUUUUACUUUAUAGACAAGAAAACUGAAGCAUGGAAAAGCAAUGAAUGAAAAUGUCGCUCCAUGUUUUCACCAGCAUUCGCUGCUGUCAGUUAGGAUUUUUCAUCAUCCUAAAAGACUUUUAGCUUGACCAUGAUGUCUUCAUUCUGAAGGAUCAGUCUCACCUUUUCCUGAACAAAUACUAAAAUAGUAGCCUUAAGCUUAAGGAAGCUGGUUCAGGAAGCUGUGUUCCAUGAGACAUGAUACUCUGAGAAGAUUAAAAUGGAGGGAACCUUGGCCUAUGGAUCUUGCAUCUAAUUUCUAGAAUCUCCAGCCUGGCCUUAGUCCAUUGACAUAUCAAUAGGUGUGUAAUGCAGCAGCCUCCCACAGCCUCUAGGCCAAGGGGUGGAGAGAGGAUGGCUGUUCUCUC